GAAGAUAGAGAAAGUCUGAGAAUUGAUUAGCAAGGUCAUACGAAUUAGAUGAUCAUGACGAACACCUCUCAUUCUCCAGGGAAAUCAAGGAGGAACUAGUUCCACACAAUUUGUUCAUCCAGUUAUGGACAAGUAUAGUGGUAAGACAGAACCUAUAUACCGCUUAGGUGAGUACAUGACCCAAAUGCAACCGAAAAAAUCAAGCCAUGUGCUUAAGUACCAAGGUUUUUAGACUUGCCAAAUUGUG
rnacentral:lncRNA from 1 species